CAACUUUUGACAACGGAUCUCUUGGCUCUCGCAACGAUGAAGAACGCAGCGAAAUGCGAUACGUAGUGUGAAUUGCAGAAUUCCGUGAAUCAUCGAAUCUUUGAACGCAACUUGCACUCUGUUUCGGCAGAGUAUGCCUGUUUGAGAAUCUAU
rnacentral:rRNA from 1 species